rnacentral:rRNA from 1 species
GAUGAACGCUGACAGAAUGCUUAACACAUGCAAGUCUUUGGCGAAGCUGUGCUUGCACAGCCUAGCCAAGGCGGACGGGUGCGUAACGCGUAAGGAACUUGCCCUGCAGUCAGGGAUAACAGACGGAAACGACUGAUAAGACCUGGUAAAGUCAGGCGGACUCAUGUCCAGCCUGAUGAAAAGAGAUGCUGCAGGAGAGCCUUGCGUCCUAUUAGCUUGUUGGUGGGGUAACGGCCCACCAAGGCGAUGAUAGGUAGCCGGCCUGAGAGGGUGGACGGCCACAAGGGGACUGAGAUACGGCCCUGACUCCUACGGGAGGCAGCAGUGGGGAAUAUUGGACAAUGGGGGCAACCCUGAUCCAGCAAUUCUGUGUGCACGAUGAAGGUUUUCGGAUUGUAAAGUGCUUUCAGCAGGGAAGAAAAAAAUGACGGUACCUGCAGAAGAAGCGACGGCUAAAUACGUG